GGAUUAGAUACCCUGGUAGUCCACACCGUAAACGAUGAGUGCUAGUUGUCUGCAGGCAUGCCUGUAGGUGACGCAGCUAACGCAUUAAGCACUCCGCCUGGGGAGUACGGCCGCAAGGUUAAAACUCAAAGAAAUUGACGGGGGCCCGCACAAGCGGUGGAGCAUGUGGUUUAAUUCGAAGCAACGCGCAGAACCUUACCUACCCUUGACAUGCCCGGCUACAUCCAGAGAUGGAUGGUUCCUUCGGGACCGGUGCACAGGUGCUGCAUGGCUGUCGUCAGCUCGUGCCG
rnacentral:rRNA from 1 species